rnacentral:rRNA from 1 species
GGUUAAGCGACUAAGCGUACACGGUGGAUGCCCUGGCAGUCAGAGGCGAUGAAGGACGUGCUAAUCUGCGAAAAGCGUCGGUAAGGUGAUAUGAACCGUUACAGCCGGCGAUGUCCGAAUGGGGAAACCCAGUGUGAUUCGUCACACUAUCGUUAACUGAAUACAUAGGUUAACGAGGCGAACCGGGGGAACUGAAACAUCUAAGUACCCCGAGGAAAAGAAAUCAACCGAGAUUCCCCCAGUAGCGGCGAGCGAACGGGGAGCAGCCCAGAGUCUGAAUCAGCUUGUGUGUUAGUGGAACGGUCUGGAAAGUCCGACGGUACAGGGUGAUAGUCCCGUACACCAAAAUGCACAGGCUGUGAACUCGAAGAGUAGGGCGGGACACGUGGUAUCCUGUCUGAAUAUGGGGGGACCAUCCUCCAAGGCUAAAUACUCCUGACUGACCGAUAGUGAACCAGUACCGUGAGGGAAAGGCGAAAAGAACCCCGGCGAGGGGAGUGAAAAAGAACCUGAAACCGUGUACGUACAAGCAGUGGGAGCACCUUCGGGUGUGACUGCGUACCUUUUGUAUAAUGGGUCAGCGACUUAUAUUCUGUAGCAAGGUUAACCGUAUAGGGGAGCCGCAGGGAAACCGAGUCUUAACUGGGCGUUAAGUUGCAGGGUAUAGACCCGAAACCCGGUGAUCUAGCCAUGGGCAGGUUGAAGGUUGGGUAACACUAACUGGAGGACCGAACCGACUAAUGUUGAAAAAUUAGCGGAUGACUUGUGGCUGGGGGUGAAAGGCCAAUCAAACCGGGAGAUAGCUGGUUCUCCCCGAAAGCUAUUUAGGUAGCGCCUCGUGAAUUCAUCUUCGGGGGUAGAGCACUGUUUCGGCUAGGGGGUCAUCCCGACUUACCAACCCGAUGCAAACUACGAAUACCGAAGAAUGUUAUCACGGGAGACACACGGCGGGUGCUAACGUCCGUCGUGAAGAGGGAAACAACCCAGACCGCCAGCUAAGGUCCCAAAGUCAUGGUUAAGUGGGAAACGAUGUGGGAAGGCACAGACAGCCAGGAUGUUGGCUUAGAAGCAGCCAUCAUUUAAAGAAAGCGUAAUAGCUCACUGGUCGAGUCGGCCUGCGCGGAAGAUGUAACGGGGCUAAACCAUGCACCGAAGCUGCGGCAGCGACACUAUGUGUUGUUGGGUAGGGGAGCGUUCUGUAAGCCUGCGAAGGUGACCUGUGAGGGUUGCUGGAGGUAUCAGAAGUGCGAAUGCUGACAUAAGUAACGAUAAAGCGGGUGAAAAGCCCGCUCGCCGGAAGACCAAGGGUUCCUGUCCAACGUUAAUCGGGGCAGGGUGAGUCGACCCCUAAGGCGAGGCCGAAAGGCGUAGUCGAUGGGAAACAGGUUAAUAUUCCUGUACUUGGUGUUACUGCGAAGGGGGGACGGAGAAGGCUAUGUUAGCCGGGCGACGGUUGUCCCGGUUUAAGCAUGUAGGCUGGUUGUCCAGGCAAAUCCGGAUAAUCAAGGCUGAGGUGUGAUGACGAGGCACUACGGUGCUGAAGUAACAAAUGCCCUGCUUCCAGGAAAAGCCUCUAAGCAUCAGGUAACAUCAAAUCGUACCCCAAACCGACACAGGUGGUCAGGUAGAGAAUACCAAGGCGCUUGAGAGAACUCGGGUGAAGGAACUAGGCAAAAUGGUGCCGUAACUUCGGGAGAAGGCACGCUGGUGUGUAGGUGAAGUCCCUGCGGAUGGAGCUGAGACCAGUCGAAGAUACCAGCUGGCUGCAACUGUUUAUUAAAAACACAGCACUGUGCAAACACGAAAGUGGACGUAUACGGUGUGACGCCUGCCCGGUGCCGGAAGGUUAAUUGAUGGGGUUAUCCGUAAGGAGAAGCUCUUGAUCGAAGCCCCGGUAAACGGCGGCCGUAACUAUAACGGUCCUAAGGUAGCGAAAUUCCUUGUCGGGUAAGUUCCGACCUGCACGAAUGGCGUAAUGAUGGCCAGGCUGUCUCCACCCGAGACUCAGUGAAAUUGAACUCGCUGUGAAGAUGCAGUGUACCCGCGGCAAGACGGAAAGACCCCGUGAACCUUUACUAUAGCUUGACACUGAACAUUGAGCCUUGAUGUGUAGGAUAGGUGGGAGGCUUUGAAGCGUGGACGCCAGUCUGCGUGGAGCCAACCUUGAAAUACCACCCUUUAAUGUUUGAUGUUCUAACGUUGGCCCCUUACCGGGGUUGCGGACAGUGUCUGGUGGGUAGUUUGACUGGGGCGGUCUCCUCCCAAAGCGUAACGGAGGAGCACGAAGGUUAGCUAAUCCUGGUCGGACAUCAGGAGGUUAGUGCAAUGGCAUAAGCUAGCUUGACUGCGAGCGUGACGGCGCGAGCAGGUGCGAAAGCAGGUCAUAGUGAUCCGGUGGUUCUGAAUGGAAGGGCCAUCGCUCAACGGAUAAAAGGUACUCCGGGGAUAACAGGCUGAUACCGCCCAAGAGUUCAUAUCGACGGCGGUGUUUGGCACCUCGAUGUCGGCUCAUCACAUCCUGGGGCUGAAGUAGGUCCCAAGGGUAUGGCUGUUCGCCAUUUAAAGUGGUACGCGAGCUGGGUUUAGAACGUCGUGAGACAGUUCGGUCCCUAUCUGCCGUGGGCGCUGGAGAAUUGAGGGGGGCUGCUCCUAGUACGAGAGGACCGGAGUGGACGCAUCACUGGUGUUCGGGUUGUCAUGCCAAUGGCACUGCCCGGUAGCUAAAUGCGGAAGAGAUAAGUGCUGAAAGCAUCUAAGCACGAAACUUGCCCCGAGAUGAGUUCUCCCUGAGACUUUAAGUCUCCUGAAGGAACGUUGAAGACGACGACGUUGAUAGGCCGGGUGUGUAAGCGCAGCGAUGCGUUGAGCUAACCGGUACUAAUGAACCGUGAGGCUUAACCUU